CCCAUUCCCGUUUUCCUCUUCCCAAUCCGGCGACUCCGAUCAACUUUGGUUUCCUCCGAUCGGUAGAUCUACGCUUCCUUUUUGGUUCUUCGUUAGGGAUUUCAUGAUCGGAUCAUGACCAACUUGAAUUGAAGCGAGGGAAAUUAAAGCGGCCAAUGAAUUUCAAGAAUCGAACCGAAACUGAAGCGAUCGAGAGAGAAACCGGCAACAUGAGAAGGGAUUUGAAUCUCCUGCUCUGGAUGAGGUGGAAAUGGCUGGAUUGGAACUUCAUUGAAUUCAAACGAGGAUGGAAAGUGAUAUAUAUUUUCCUUUGAUAAAUACGAUUUUGUUGUGCAGUAGUUAUUUGGAGCUGAUAGGGGAAAACAAGAGCUUCUGCCAAUUUAGAAGCUAGAGCGUAAGAGAAGAGUAAGGCGAAGAAGAAGAMGACACAAGGGUUUAAGUGGUUCAGCCUAAUGUUGGCCUACGUCCACUGUAAGGCUAAUCUUUCACUUCUUUUAGAGAGAGAAUUACAAAGGGAAUUUCUUCAUGGUUCUUCCAGAAGUACAUAAUGAGCUAUUUAAAGGGCUUUAGCCUAAUAACUAACUCUUUACAGAAGUACUCUGUUUUACCCAUAGUUUCUGUUGUAUUCAACCACGGUAAAUAUUACAAAUCUCCACCUUUGAAGACAUACAGAAGGYGAAAGACCAGCCCUUUUAAYCUGCUUUUUAUCCUUUCUCMGGUAUGUAGAUUCCAGCCAAUCUCAGACAAUGUUCAAACUUUGCUUGGGUGACUGUUUUAGUUAACAUAUMUGCAGCAUUAUCAGAGUUUCGAGAUCAAUAACUUGCCGUAGGACAUUAUCACUAAGAUUCAGAAUGAUUGCCCCAUAAGCGAUCUCUUCCAUUGUCUCCUUUUCUUCAAUUGACAUCGACUCAGCUCAAAGUCGCCUUUUCCAUCGAACUUCUCAAUCUCAUACCUCGCUACAGCCAUCGCUGGAUCUUGCUUCGUGAAUUAACCAAAAAAACUCCUGUGAACUGUGGCUCUGAUACCAAUUUUGUUAGUGGAAAACAAGAGCUUUUGCCAAUUUAGAAGCUAGAGCGUAAGAGAAGAGUAAGGCGAAGAAGAAGACACAAGGGUUUAAGUGGUUUAGCCUAAUGUUGGCCUAAUAUUAGCCUUACAGUGGACGUAGGCCAACAUUAGGCUGAACCACUUAAACCCUUGUGUCUUCUUCUUCGCCGUAGCCUUACUCUUCUCUUACGCACUAGCUUCUAAAUUGGGAAAAGCUCUUGUUUUCCCCUAACAGGAGCUAUGGUUAGUCAUUGGAUGAACACCAUUUUUUUCCCAAAAUCAGAGUGACUAGCUUGGUAAGUUCUCCAACUCCCAUGAAUAUUUGACAUAUGAUUUAAGUUGAUCAACUUUAUGCAUGGAAUACAAGCAUAAUCUAGUUUAAUUUGAUGAAAUAUUAAUUUUAACGCCUAAAGUUUGCAUCGUCAUCUCAGUCACAUCCUUGACUCAUAAUUUCGUGGGGAAGGGUGAGGUAGUGUAUCAUAGCAUGAAUGUAUCUAAACAUUUUUCUAUCUAAAAAGUUCCCCCGCUUUCUCA